rnacentral:rRNA from 1 species
UACAGAGGGUGCAAGCGUUGCUCGGAUUUACUGGGCGUAAAGCGUACGCAGACGGUAAGAAAGGUCGGAUGUGAAAGCCCCGGGCUCAACCCUGGAACUGCAUCCGAAACCAUCUUGCUAGAGUAUGGGAGAGGGAAGCGGAAUUCCUGGUGUAGAGGUGAAAUUCGUAGAUAUCAGGAGGAACACCGGCGGCGAAGGCGGCUUCCUGGCCCAUUACUGACGUUCAGGUACGAAAGCGUGGGUAGCAAACAGG